AGGUGCAACACUAACGUUACCUAAUAAUCUUUCUGUUCACUUUCCCCAUUUACAUAAUUAUGGUAAAGUUACCUUAGCGUUAGAAUAGCAACACAAACUGCGUUAAAAAUCACCAUAAGGUUGACAACAUCGCUCCAGAACGCUGCAGUCAGGAUUUAUUUGGGAGCUAUUUAAUGUACCUAGCUUAAAAAAAACAACUAAUGCAACAUACCCAGCUUCUAGACAUGGCAGCACUGAGCAACCCAGAGCUACGGCAACACGGCAUUGAUUAAGCGCCAUCUUUGAUUAUUUUAUUUUUUUGUAUGGUUAAAGAUCGCACAGCGCUGUGGAGAGUUGCAUAAUCCGAAAUCGUGUUUUGACUGCCUGACAUCGACGUAAAUUCUUCUGAACUGUUUCUGAAAAGUUGAAAAUCCCUUCGCAGCAGCAGGAGGCAGCCAGGCUUCAUUAGAGUGUAGGAAAUGAGGUGUCAACCCCUGAGAUCCGCCAGCAGAUGACAGCCCCUCCCCUCGUCCAAACCACAGCCAUCACCGUCGAUACAUUUCACACCCAAAGAGGCCUGAAGCAUUGUCACCAGUGAUACCCAAGCACAAAACAAAGCACAUCCUCACCUUAGCUUCAGAUGUGGAUUCCAGGUAACACACACGGUUUCCGAGUCCUUCAGCGGCCAAGCAGAACUUGCGAUGCUCCUUCUGGAUGUUGGCCACACACUGGAGCACCACCUCGUCAUCCUGCCAGAGGAGAGAGAGGAGCGUUAAAGCCAAAAAUGUUUUGACAAUGACCUAUCCAAAUAAAAUAAACAAGACGGGACAAGAAGAAAAUAAUCUAUAUUGGCUCAGCUUUUUUGCUUCUCACACCACCCUCACUCAGAA